rnacentral:miRNA from 1 species
AUUGCUUCUGUGGACAGGUGUCUUUUAUACAGGUAACAAGCUGAGAUUAGGUGCACUCCCUCUAAGAGAGUGAUCCUAAUCUCAGCUUGUUACCUGUAUAAAAGACACCUGAGAGUCAGAAA